rnacentral:lncRNA from 1 species
GGAAGACAGAAGAAAAAAGCAAUGAGGGUUGGCCUCACCUUCUUGGAACCCAGCUUCACCAACUGGAAUGGGAGUUUCCCAUUAUCAAAUUUUGUUUCCUGUUAGUUCCCCUUACCAGCCAUUGCCACCACCACCACCAUCACCAUGGAAGUGCUCGGGGCCUGGAGUGCCAGAAAAUGGAGAGAUGGAAGAGGAAACAAAAAAAAAGCAAACACAGUGCAGUGCUGCUCUCUCUCUGAGCAUUGGAAGUUCCCUUUCCAGCUCCUCGAGCCAUUACCAGAGGGAUUGUUUGACUGGUGCCCAUUUUCUGGGUCACCAGUGCUUUGUGUUCAGGUCAGGGGAUAUUGGAAGAACAAAAUGUCAAACUCACUGCCGAUUCAGUGGCACUUUUAAGUUUGGUCUUCUGCAGUCUUCCUCUGAUAUUUAAUUUCUCUGUCUUCAGGCUGUUCCCUGCUUUCUCUCAAGUUUCUAUAGCUGUAUUCAUUGAGGGAGACAGGGUUGUCAGGGAGCAGAGGGCGAGGAGUGAGGAUGUGGUAAUGAGCGCGCCGCGUUCCGUGUCAGUUGCAGAGAAAUUCCUGAGGGCCCCAAAGCUGAGCACAGUAAGAAGUCCAGCUGAAGCCAGAUGAAGAAGGUUCUUCUCCUUGAAACACUUCCAUCCAUCCCCUUGUAAUGCCUCAGUGUCCUGCUAUUACGUCUGUGGAGUCAUCGUCUAUAUGCAGUAGGCCCAAUCCAAAUUAGGUCUGAAAGGCUGCAAACAGAAGGUCAGAUAAAGCUAAACUUCAAAACAAAUGAAAAAAAGAAAAGGGAAGAAAAAAGAAUGGUUUGAGCGCUGUGUGAACUUCUGAAGAUCAGCUUCAAGGAUGCUGUGGAGAGAAGACAAAAUUACAUCCUGGGAAGAGCAUGAAGCAGAGAUCUGUGGACUCCCACUGAGAAAAGUUGACAUCACUGCACACUUCCCCCAUGAGGGUGCCUCGUCUCUUUGUCUCCCAAGAGACUGAGAAGGAGCUGGGUGGCUGGGUCUCCGCAUUGUCCAAAUGCCAGAAGAGCAAGGAGACAAGGGAACAGUGGGACUUGCUGCCAUUACCCCAGCAGGGGACAGCAGUCUGCUGCAUCUACACUAGCAAUCCCUGGGGGUAGAGAACACUUUACCUCCCAAAACCUGGGAGGUGAUGGAAUACAACAAGAUCUGUAAAAAUACGGAGAAAAAAGGCAACAUAUUAAGGUUCCAUCUGUUAGAGUGCGGAAACUUAGGUGGAAGAAACUACGUACAUCCAGUGAAAUAAGAUUGUUGGGGAGAUGUAUGAAAGCCUGAAUAAAAAAAAUUCGAAUCAUUUCAGUGAUUCAGAUCCAAGUGUAGAAUGAAAAGGACUUUUCAAAACCUAACAAUAGUUCCCUACUAAACAAUUAAAUGAAAUAAUACAAAGAAAAAACAAUUAAUUUUGAGUUCUAAUUGGUGGCCUCAAAUAUUAAGUGCAAAACAUAUUUGAAGCAGUGAGCAAAAAGCAUAAAGAGAUAACAAAUGUAGUGGAAAAGAUGAGAAAUCUGGGUGGUGGUUCCAGGAGACCAGGGUUCUGGAAAGAAGGAAAGAGAAAAAAAAUAAAACAUACGGAGAUGUCAAAAUUCAAAAACUGUUUAAAAAAACCCAGAUCAAUAAAAUUGUAUGUAGUGAAAGUUUAUUGUGUAUGUAGUAACAGUUCAUGAACUGAGAGUCUCCGAACCAGCAGUGGAAUGAAGCUCAGAGGCCUGUUGCUGUAGGAAAUCUUAUACACUGGAAAUGCAGAAGGUAUUUAAUCUUCAUAAUGAUUGGUUAUAGCAUUGGGGUUUUUCCCCAGACAGAGGAUUGGUUAAAGGUGGUAAUCUUAUGCUAUUUUUGGAAAACAAUUUAGGUUUCAUUCCUGACUUUCAGAAGCUUUUACAAGAAAACAGCCCACGUUAAGUUUCGCUUAUAUCGCAGGAUAGGCUAAAUUGGAUUUCAACUUAACUGGUUUUGUCUGCCCAGGGAAUUUUCAAAUCUGGUAUCCAUUUUGUAUUUUAUUUUACUAGAGAUGGUAAUUAAACACAUAAUGAAGCUAAUUCUCCUUGGGCCAAAUAAAGUUCUAAGUCUGUGGUAUGAAUGUACCUGGGCAUAGAUUGUGGUAUUCCUAAAAUAUGACAAAGAUAAGACAAGGAUGCAGAAGCAGCACAGCAAAGAUGCAUGAAUUUUCUAUGCUUCUGGGAAACAAUGCGAAAGGUUGAAUGGGAUUAAAUAAUCAUGGUGAUACUUAGUUUUAAAAUGAAGAUGACUGGGUCUUAAGGAGUGGAAUGACACUUUUAAAAAAUGAAGGUGACAGAAAAAUGUACAGAAUCAGACUGAGCUGUCACUAAAGAUGAGUGCCAUUCAGCUGAAAAAGGGUGAGGGAUGGAUAACAGAUCAGAGUUCAUAGAAGUUAUUGGAAAAAUAAAAUUGUCCCAUGUUUAUACCCUGAUGAGUCAAGACUGUUCAGUCAAACUGAUUAUACUUAUUUGCACACUGUCUCUUGUGAUUUGUCUCUUUGCUCUAAAAAUAAGUGUCAAAACAGCUCUGAUUAAUUGUAGUCUGGUGAAUGGGUUCUAUUUCCUAGAGGUUUUAUUGGUCAUUGAUGUGUGGAGAUGGAACCUUCAAUAUAUAGACUAAUUGUCCCCAUCACUCAUGGAAAACACUAAGACCCGGAAAGGACACCACAUAGCUCUUUGGAUUAUAAUGCUAGCAAACAUAUAUAAAAAUUACUGCAGGGGAGAAAGAGCUGAAUUUACAAAUGUAAAGAGGUAUUAGGCAAACUUUAUAGGUCAGUAUUUUUGUGUCUGUGAGCAUGCUGAUAUUUUUAAGCUAUAGUCAAGGUAAAUGAGCUAAGUAAGAAACUGAUUUUUAAGAUAUGUUUGUCAGCUAAUAUAGCAACAAAUGACUCAAUUUAAAAUCUGAGGUGAAAGAUACAUGUGUCUAAAUUGGUAAUAAACUACAUCUAUAUUCUGGGUCUGAUCUUUAGUAUUUUGCUAAUUUUGAUGUGAAUUCAAUAAAUAUUUUUGAACACAUGAUCAAAUUUUAUCAUACUAUCAUAACUCCUUGAUGGUUCAGGACAUCUGAUUCCAAGAGUCUAUUUUGAUGUCCCCAAGAAUUUACUCAUUUCUAUUGUUCCAGGUAUCCUAGUUUUUAGGUAAAACUGCUCUAGCAAGAUCUUUUAGCCAGAUAUUUUACCAAUUAUAUUAUUUUAAUACAAGAUGUUCUCUAUCAAAAUUCCACCUUACAGCUAGUUUCACAAAUCUUAUCUAGAAAUAAUUAUUCAUAUAAGGUUAUAGUCAUAAAAAAGGAUUAAGCGAAACUGUUUUCCUUCCAUUUCGGAAUUUUAUUAUAUCUGUGCACUAAUUUCCAAAUUAUAAAUUUCUCAG